UGGGGAAUUUUGGACAAUGGGCGAAAGCCUGAUCCAGCAAUGCCGCGUGUGUGAAGAAGGCCUUCGGGUUGUAAAGCACUUUUGUCCGGAAAGAAAUCCUUGGCUCUAAUACAGUCGGGGGAUGACGGUACCGGAAGAAUAAGCACCGGCUAACUACGUGCCAGCAGCCGCGGUAAUACGUAGGUGCAAGCGUUAAUNCGAAUUACUGGGCGUAAAGCGUGCGCAGGCGGUUUGCUAAGACCGAUGUGAAAUCCCCGGGCUCAACCUGGGAACUGCAUUGGUGACUGGCAGGCUAGAGUAUGGCAGAGGGGGGUAGAAUUCCACGUGUAGCAGUGAAAUGCGUAGAGAUGUGGAGGAAUACCGAUGGCGAAGGCAGCCCCCUGGGCCAAUACUGACGCUCAUGCACG
rnacentral:rRNA from 1 species